AACAGGAUUAGAUACCCUGGUAGUCCAUGCCGUAAACGGUGGGCGCUAGGUGUGAGGGUCUUUUCACGACUUUCGUGCCGUAGCAAACGCAUUAAGCGCCCCGCCUGGGGAGUACGGCCGCAAGGCUAAAACUCAAAGGAAUUGACGGGGGCCCGCACAAGCGGCGGAGCAUGUGGAUUAAUUCGAUGCAACGCGAAGAACCUUACCUGGGCUUGACAUACACUGGAUCGCUGCAGAGAUGUAGUUUCCCUUUGUGGCUGGUGUACAAGUGGUGCAUGGUUGUCGUCAGCUCGUGUCGUGAGACGUUGGGUUAAGUCCCGCAACGAGCGCAACCCUUGUCUUAUGUUGCCAGCAUUUGGUUGGGGACUCAUGAGAGACUGCCGGGGUCAACUCGGAGGAAGGUGGGGAUGACGUCAAAUCAUCAUGCCCCUUAUGUCCAGGGCUUCACACAUGCUACAAUGGUCGGUACAACGCGCAGCGACACUGUGAGGUGGAGCGAAUCGCUGAAAGCCGGCCUUAGUUCGGAUUGGGGUCUGCAACUCGACCCCAUGAAGUCGGAGUCGCUAGUAAUCGCAGAUCAGCAAUGCUGCGGUGAAUACGUUCCCGGGCCUUGUACACACCGCCCGUCACGUCAUGAAAGUUGGUAACACCCGAAGCCGGUGGCCCAAACUUGUUAGGGAGCCGUCGAAGGUGGGAUCGGCGAUUGGGACGAAGUCGUAACAAGGUAACC
rnacentral:rRNA from 1 species